AAGACACAAAGAAACUGAAUGAAGUAAAUACAAGAAGAAAUGAAAAAUACCACAUCCAUUCACAGAGUGUAAUUGUGACGUCUUAACUAACCACCCAGAUGAUCCCUCUUGAGCUCAGAACAAGAAUCCUCUCCAGCCUGAAGGAUGGGGAUAUUCAACUGUUCUCAGAGAUCUUGUCACUCCUACAACAUGGGGUUUGUUACAUAGAAACGAGAACAGGAAGCUAAUUUGUUCUGUAAACUGCCAGGCCCCAAGAGACCUGCUGAAACACUUUCAAGAGACUUCAGCUUUCUUAUUCCAUGAAGUCUUAAAAGUCAACUCUAUCCAUUUGCACAUGAAUACAGAUAUCCUGACUCUCUUAACACAGCCUUCUAUGAAGCACAGCUUCCUGAGUUGCAGCAACAAGCACAAUGCUACUGUGCAGUCAUCCUUCCAGAAUAAUUCAAGAAUGCAUUAUUUAGACUAAAUGCUUCUAAGACUCUGUACAAUUUGUUGGCUAUUUGCUUCCAAAUUGAAAGUCUCUAUGAACUCCACUUUCCACAUUUUCUUUGUUAAGCCAUGAACAAGAUUCUCCUGUCAGCAGAGAUUCAUUAACAUUGUCACAAAAGACAGCUUUCUGCCCUUGUUUAUCAUGUGAAACAGCGAUCCUGUAUUUUUUAGGUCUUUUAAAUUCUGAUUAAUAUGGUCCUGUGCAGUACGGACAGCACAGCCUAUGCAAUGAAGGGACAGUGCUGUUGAGGGGAGCAUCCCACUACUUGAAUCUUCAGCUGUUUAGGGUGGGUACUGGUGAGGUCUGUACAAGCUUGACAGAGUAGAUGCAUCUCUACCCUGAACUUCACGUGACAUGUUCCAAGACAUUAGUUUGCCUUUGUUCAUUUUUUCCUACAUGUCGUAUUUAGCACUGUUGCUUACCUGCAAAAGUAAUUUUGAUGUGAUAUGAAAAGCAGCAUUACAUUCAUAUUGUCAGUAAAAACACAGAAAAAGAAUAUAAAGACAAUAAAAU
rnacentral:lncRNA from 1 species